rnacentral:rRNA from 1 species
CUCAGGACGAACGCUGGCGGCGUGCGUAAUACAUGCAAGUCGAACGCUUCUUUCCUCCCGAGUGCUUGCACUCRAUUGGAAAGAGGAGUGGCGGACGGGUGAGUAACACGUGGGUAACCUACCCAUCAGAGGGGGAUAACACUUGGAAACAGGUGCUAAUACCGCAUAACAGUUUAUGCCGCAUGGCAUAAGAGUGAAAGGCGCUUUCGGGUGUCGCUGAUGGAUGGACCCGCGGUGCAUUAGCUAGUUGGUGAGGUAACGGCUCACCAAGGCCACGAUGCAUAGCCGACCUGAGAGGGUGAUCGGCCACACUGGGACUGAGACACGGCCCAGACUCCUACGGGAGGCAGCAGUAGGGAAUCUUCGGCAAUGGACGAAAGUCUGACCGAGCAACGCCGCGUGAGUGAAGAAGGUUUUCGGAUCGUAAAACUCUGUUGUUAGAGAAGAACAAGGACGUUAGUAACUGAACGUCCCCUGACGGUAUCUAACCAGAAAGCCACGGCUAACUACGUGCCAGCAGCCGCGGUAAUACGUAGGUGGCAAGCGUUGUCCGGAUUUAUUGGGCGUAAAGCGAGCGCAGGCGGUUUCUUAAGUCUGAUGUGAAAGCCCCCGGCUCAACCGGGGAGGGUCAUUGGAAACUGGGAGACUUGAGUGCAGAAGAGGAGAGUGGAAUUCCAUGUGUAGCGGUGAAAUGCGUAGAUAUAUGGAGGAACACCAGUGGCGAAGGCGGCUCUCUGGUCUGUAACUGACGCUGAGGCUCGAAAGCGUGGGGAGCAAACAGGAUUAGAUACCCUG